GGAUGAUUAGGACUUUGUUGUUUGUUUGACAAUUCAAAGGAAAUGGUUUUCUAUUUGACACUAUUGUCUUGUCGAUGCUUCCCAUGGGUUAGAUCUUUUCAACUCAGAACUCUCAAUCUUGUCUAAAAUUGCCUCUUCAUCUCCACCUUCUUCUUCUUUAAUUUCAAUUUUCAAAACUUCUUUGCUUGUUGUUUUUCAACUUAGACUUGUUUUAAUGAGUAGAAACCUUUGCCUUAU
rnacentral:lncRNA from 1 species